rnacentral:rRNA from 1 species
CUCUGCCUACGGGAGGCAGCAGUGAGGAAUAUUGGUCAAUGGCCGAGAGGCUGAACCAGCCAAGUCGCGUGAGGGAUGACGGCGCUACGGGUUGUAAGCCUCUUUUGUCGGGGAGCAAAGAGAGUCACGUGUGGCUCAUUGAGAGUACCCGAAGAAAAAGCAUCGGCUAACUCCGUGCCAGCAGCCGCGGUAAUACGGAGGAUGCGAGCGUUAUCCGGAUUUAUUGGGUUUAAAGGGUGCGCAGGCGGAGGUGCAAGUCAGUGGUCAAAUUGCGGGGCUCAACCCCGUACUGCCGGUGAAACUGC